CCCUGGGAGCACAGGUGAAGGCAAUUCAGCUGUGAGACAGGAAGGGAUGGAGCCUGGCUGCACCCUUCUUAGACCUCAUUGAAGGGCUGACUGCUAAUGGGGAAGGAUCUCUGGGUGGAGAUUCUUCCUUGUGGAGUCUUUCCUGUAAGCCUAGAUCCUUAGAGAUGGGUAAGAAAGCGGAUUUAAGUCGUAUUGCUGUUUGCAUCAGUACUGAAGUUAUCCUGAAGCUGUCCAUGGGAUCUGAACGUGGGUUGUAUCUGACUCUGCCUUCAUCAAUGCUUUGCUUUGGGAUACUGAGCCACCACUGAGGUUCCACACAGCUGGUGGCACCUUGUCCAGACCAGGGCCCUGCGAAUGGACCCACGUGAAUGCACCAACCCAUGUCUCCCCCUUCAUUCUGCCAAAGCUAUGGAGACUGUUUCUCUCUUUAGACUGCUUGAAAAUGUACCCACGAGGUGGGUGGACUUGCCAUGACUGGAAACUUCAUCGAGGGCACCUGCCACUUCACUGAAUAGCCAUCGACAGGAGCUAAUUUCAUUUGUCAUUGGUCUGGAUAUAAGGGCUUGAGGAAGCAAGCUGUAUGCGUGGGAAGUGUUUGCCCAGUCAUCCCAGGAUUUUCCACCCAGCCUCUGAGUUGGGUUAAGGAACAGAAGCAGAUGCAUAAGUUGCUUAUGGUGGCUGCCAUGUCUGUCUGUUAUAGACUUCUCUCCCUUUUCUGAACGGGCUGGCCUUUGCAUGUGGGGUCUGGAAACCUGACCAGACCUUUGCAACACAAGCCCUGAUCUGAGAAGGUUUUUGGGACAGGUAGAGUUAAACGAUGGAAGGAAGUUUCCUUGCUUGGAAAGGACUUGCUUGUUUCCUGACUGCAAGCAUGCUGACAGGCCAUAAAAUAUGAACAGCUGCUGAAUGACAAUAGAAUUCUCAGUCUCUCAUCUGUUUCUUCUUUCUGUCCCAUGCCUGCUUUCUUUAGUGAUUUCAGGUGCAUCCUGAGAGAUGCAUCCUAAGACUGCCAUGAAUCUGAAUGUAACCUAUCUGUGCAGGCCUAACUCCCCACAGCAGCUCUGUCUCACUGCCUGCCAGGACUGCAGAGCUUAAAUGACAUUAUUGCUAUGCAGGAGCUCUCCUUGAGCUCACUGCACAAAGCUGUAAUGAAUGGAUAAUUUGAGACUUUUGUCCUUUGCUUGUGCUGUUAACUUAACCCUCCUGCUUUUGAAACCCGAAGACGGCUCUUGCUGGUGCUUGGAACAUUCACAAGGUGAAGGGGGCUGUCAGGGUAUCUUUUAAUUGUCUGCUGUGGUUUCCUUUCAGACAGCCCACCUUGAGUGCUGUUAUUGACAGAGAGGCUGGGAGGCAUUGCUGAUGGUGUCCAUGUGUGUCUUCUGUUAGAGGAUAAACAGGCACGUAUGAGUUGCUCAACAGUGAAAUGCAGCAGGAUGUGAAAAAUGGAGUUUGUAGGAUCUCUUUUAGAGUAGGCAAGAAUAAGCCACAACUUUACCUUUUUUUUUUUUUUCCUUUAUUUUUCCUUGUGUACACUCCAUGAUGUUGGCAUUUUCACUGCAACUGGUUUACACACAGAAAUGGGAUUUUUCCUGAGCUUUCAUUUCCCUCUUACUACAAUCUGAUUACCUUUAUUCUUCUAAAAAGUGCCUAGAUUACUAACAGUUUCUUAUCUUAACACAUGCUCCAUUGCAUACUUAGGAAAGGAAGCCAUUCUGUCAGUGUUUCCCUCAGCCUUGUGAACCUGUUUCUAAGCCAGAGAUACCCAGCCUUCUCCCAUCAAGUACUGCUGAACCCCACUGCAGACUAAAGAGGGAUUUGACCAGCUCCAGAUCGACCAUCCGGUUUGCUUCUCUGCGACUUGAUGGAAACUUGGGAAGGUGUCAGAUAACAGGAAAGAGCUUUGAUUGUUAGAAAUGUCCAGGUUUCAGUUGAGAGAUGUCUUGGUUAUUACUGAACAAUAGGAUUGCUCCCAAGGCUGGAUUGGUCCAUGCUGCUCAGUAAGAAAGAGCCACCCCCUUUAUGGCGUGGCAGCAGGAGUGUGGUGGAGCCAGGGCAGCUGUCCUGAAUUAGGUACCACCUGAUAUCAUGCAGAAGCUGUGUGUGGUACAGAUGGGGGCUGUUGGGGGGAGUUGGCUGGGUGGUGAGAUGUUGUGUUGCUAGCUGGGUGUCAGUCAGCAAGUAGUUGUGUCAGCUGGGGGGUGAGUAACUGCAUCGUGGAUACCAAUGUAGGUCACUCUGGAAGCAAUGUCUCCUAUGUAUUUCCAUGGAAACUACAACAAAUACAAGGAGAAAAAUAAUGCUAUUUGAUAGAUCAAGUUCCCAGCUACCAAACAGUGUUUUUUCUACAUAGUCACCACCUUUAACCAAUUUGUGCAGGUGAAUUGAUUGAGACACUAUUAAUUUCAUGGUGUGAUGUCUAUGCAUGGCUGUUCGGAACAUGGCUUGUCUUUCACAUCACUAUUGCCACUACUGAAAUGCACCGCCCACCUCUCACUGUGCUCACAUCCACUGUUUGGUCUCUGUAAACAUUCAGCAAGUGUUGACGAAUGUCAAUGGGUGCCAUUUUCCUUCAUGGGGAAAAUUCAGUUCCAGCCUUUAUCUUCAUAUGCACUUCCAUGUCGGAUGCCGUUCUGUCAGA